rnacentral:lncRNA from 1 species
UAUGCUGUAUUUGGUAGGAAGCACUGAUGCGCCCAGGUCAUCCAAGGGCUGGGUCGUGAUCUGGCCUCCGUCCACUGGAAAUUAAAGCCUCUGCCAGGAGUCCAUGUCAUCCACAAAAAGAGCAAUUUUCUUCUAUUUUGGUGUAGCGAAGAGGGCCUGUUCACGGAAGGGAUCCAAGUUGGCCACUAUCUUGACAAUGCGUUUGAUUUUAAUGCUCAAUUACAUCUAAAAAUAGGUCUGGGAGAGGUGACUGCCGAGGCGGCCAUCCUGCUUGGCUAGCUGAAGGUUUGAGACUCAGGAUGGGGUCAUGGCUGAGACUAUCACCUGGUCCCACCCUUGACACAUGGAGAUUAUGGGGAUUAUAAUUCAAGGUGAGAUUUGGAUGAGGACACAGAGCCACACCAUAUCAGGCAUCAUCGCUCUCACCAUCAUCAUCGCCAUCAUCAAAACCAGCAUCAUCACCAUCACCACCAUNNNNNNNNNAUCAACACCAUCAUCAUCACCAUUACUGUCAUCAUCACCAUCACUAUUAUCAUCAGCAUCAUUAUCAUUAUCAUCAUCACCAUUACCACCAUCACCAUCAUGAUCAACAUUACCCUCAUCCUCAUCAUUACCACCAUCAACACCAUCAUCACCAUCAUCAACACCAUCAUCAUCACCAUCAUCCUUAUCUUCAUCAUUGUCACAAUUACUG